GACGAACGCUGGCGGCGUGCUUAACACAUGCCAGUCGAACGGUGAAGCGCCUUCCUUUUUGGUGGGUGUGGAUGAGUGGCGAACGGGUGAGUAACACGUGAGUAACCUGCCCCCUUCUUCUGGAUAACCGCAUGAAAGUGUGGCUAAUACGGGAUAUUCUGGGUCUGUCGCAUGAUGGGUCUGGGAAAGAUUUUGUUUCGGUGGGGGAUGGGCUCGCGGCCUAUCAGCUUGUUGGUGGGGUGAUGGCCUACCAAGGCGGUGACGGGUAGCCGGCCUGGGAGGGUGGCCGGUCACACUGGGACUGAGACACGGCCCAGACUCCUACGAGAGGCAGCAGUGGGGAAUAGUGCACAAUGGGCGGAAGCCUGAUGCAGCGACGCCGCGUGAGGGAUGGAGGCCUGCGGGUUGUGAACCUCUUUCGCCAGUGAAGCAGGCCUGCCUCGUUUGUGGGUGGGUUGACGGUAGCUGGAUAAGAAGCGCCGGCUAACUACGUG
rnacentral:rRNA from 1 species